AUUUUUUAUUAUUGAGUGAAUGCAAUGAGCCAUCGUAAUUUACGACACCAGUAAAGGUAAGGAAUUAUUAAUCUAAUCACUUAGGCAAUUUAAAUCGCUAUACUAUCAUAUAUAUUGAUUCAAUUUAUAAUUGUAUAAAUUUAAAAGAAAUCGAUUUAUUUCUGUAAUGAGAACAGAGGAAUGAACAGUCAAAUUGCUUUCACCCUUAUUGAAGAGCUUGUUUGAGUUGAAUGUUCAAAAUAACUGCUGCCCCUGUUUAUUCACAUAAUAUAAAAGGUGAGGCAUUGUUGUAAGUUAGAUAAGGUCACAAAAGUUAUCUUAGGGAAAUGACAAAUGACUUUGUUCUAGUUAGAUGAUGAUGCCUUGAUUUGCAUAUGAAAUCGAUUUUCUGUGCUGCAUUGACCAGCUAAUCUGUCAGCUCUGAAGCUAGCAUUAACCCAGCAAACCCAAUUAACAUGAGUUUGCAAUAUUUCCACUGCAAGCAACCCAGCAGCACCAUAAAAGCAAGUGAGAAAAGUUUUGCAAAGCUAAGCAUUAACCCAUUGGUAUGCAGCUCAGUUCUAGGAUUUAAUUCGAUAAUGUUGAUAGUUGGUGGUUAUGUUGCCAAUGUUUGCUGACAAAGCUUGACUUUAGCAUAUCCUAAAAUCAUUAUUCUGAAAAUGUAUUUAUGUCUUUGUUGUAGAAGUCAUGGAAUGUAAACCAGAAGAGCUCUGCGAUCAGACAUUUGACCGAUGGACCAGGAAGCUCGGAGGCGGGACUUAUUCAUCAGAGGUCUAUGAGAGCGGGCCAGGCACAGUUAUACAUAAUAUACAUACACUUCAUAGGGUUUGUGUAUGUUGUUUGGUUGUUGUAAAUGCUAAUACAUUUGUUUCAAAAGAUAAAGCUUUUGUGUUAAUUAACAAUACAUCAGAGAAAGACAGAGGUAAAUGUGGAAUAAUAUUACAGAUUUAAUUGGUGCCGAGUUGGUGUACAGUAAUCCUUUCAAUCUGACAGUUGAGAAGUGUGCAUUGUUGCAGGAGCCGAAGUGACAUCCAGAUUAAUAUGAAUAGGGCCCUUGUGUACAUGCACAUGAUGAGCAUCACGUCACACAUCAGCAUGGUUGCCACUGCUGCACACUGGUAAUGUAUAUGGUCAUACAAAUGUUCACCUACAAGAACAAUUACUGGGUAUUCACUGCUUCCCAGUACCCACAGGUAUUACACAUGUAACCAAAGUAAUGUUGAAGUACUAAUAGUCAGAGAUGUUAAACAAAUGCCUAUUUAUGUGCAGUACAGUACAGACAUUAAAGUUGUUCUAGCUAUUGUGUGAUUAGUGUUGAUCAUACAGUCAACAGCAACAGGAUAGUAGGGCCUGCCUCUUCUUCCCACACAUUCAGUGAAGCAGUUGGUCUCUCAACUCAUUCAGCAUGGAUGACAGUCUUGACACAAUCCUCUCCAUCCAUCUCCAUCUCAUGCCUCGUUAUUGCGACAUUCAUGUUUUUUCCCAUCUAUUGAAAGUUAGGAUAUUAAACAUGUUGCAUUCUA